CCUACGGGAGGCAGCAGUGGGGAAUAUUGGACAAUGGGGGCAACCCUGAUCCAGCCAUGCCGCGUGUGUGAAGAAGGCCCUCGGGUUGUAAAGCACUUUCAGUGAGGAAGAACGCCUGGUGGUUAAUACCCAUCAGGAAAGACAUCACUCACAGAAGAAGCACCGGCUAACUCCGUGCCAGCAGCCGCGGUAAUACGGAGGGUGCGAGCGUUAAUCGGAAUUACUGGGCGUAAAGCGCGCGUAGGUGGCUUGAUAAGCCGGUUGUGAAAGCCCCGGGCUCAACCUGGGAACGGCAUCCGGAACUGUCAAGCUAGAGUGCAGGAGAGGAAGGUAGAAUUCCCGGUGUAGCGGUGAAAUGCGUAGAGAUCGGGAGGAAUACCAGUGGCGAAGGCGGCCUUCUGGACUGACACUGACACUGAGGUGCGAAAGGGUGGGUAGCAAACAGGAUUAGAUACCCUGGUAGUC
rnacentral:rRNA from 1 species